AAAUCUUACAAGAAGGCCUUAAAAAAGAGGUGAAAGAGGAACUUAACAAGAAGUACUUGUUUCCAAAGAAUACACCUUUUUGUAAGGCGCCAACUCUAAACCCGGAGAUUAAUACUAUGCAGGCCAUGACUGAAUCCUUUAAGCAAAGAGACAAACACAUGAUGUCUAAGCAAAAUCAACUCGGAAAAGCAUUAUCCGUGUUAGGAGGGGCACUAACUGCUGUUUUGAAAAAAAAACCCAAACAUUUCAGACGUGGUUCGUAUUCUUAAUGAUUGCGGCAAACUUAUCGCCGAUUCACAUUAUAUGGAGACAUAUACUCGCCGAUCAAUGGUUAUACCAUUGUUAGAUAAAUCACUUGUCGAACCGUUUAAAGAGAGGAAACGGGACCAAUUUUUAUUUGGUGAUAACUUAAUGGACAUUGUAAAGACGUCCAAUACUAUGAAGAAGACAGGCACUAUGAUUCAAUCACAAAAUACCCCCACAACGAGUGGUUUAAACUUCCAAGGACCACCAUUGCGGGGCCGUCAGCGCUAUUACCAGUCUACUCCAUACACCAGGACUGGGGUGCAGCGGGGCCAGCACAUGAACAGUGGACGGCGCCGGGGACAUCCUCUGCCAGCGCAAUUGCCGCAAACACGGCGCCCGCUGCAACCGCCGCCGCCGCCACUGCGGCGCCAACAGGCUCAAGCGAUGACGACGCGUUACCGCUCGCAGAACGAGCAUGUGCGACGAUAAACCCCCACGAGCAGGUCGACACACCCGCUACAUGCCCACCUUUCCUUGGCAGCGAGCAUAUUAUGCGGGAAGCAUUUAUCAGACAAGGAGUACCGGAAACGGCGCUAGACG